GCCAAGAUGGCCGAGCGGUCUAAGGCGCCAGACUAAGGAUCUGGUCCGAAAGGGCGUGGGUUCGAAUCCCACUCUCGUCA